rnacentral:sRNA from 15 species
AUGUCAUCCCGUGAGGUGACGAAGACGCAGAUAUAUAUGAAAUUCUUUAAAUAUUGGGAUAACCAUGUUUUAAAGAUGUCUUACUCUGAGAGCCUAUUGCUGUA